rnacentral:lncRNA from 1 species
UGUGAGUGUGUCUCUGUGUGUGUAGGGGUCGAGGUGGGGGGGGUCCGUGUUUGCGAUCUGAACCUUUGGUACCUACAAGGAGGGUGUCUCACCGAACGGUAGCUAAAACCUCACCAGAACCGCGCGGAAGUGAGAAGUCGCGGCCAAAGGCGCCCGCAGAAGCCUCCUCUCUGGGCCGGACCCCAGCCCGAGCGGCCGAAAGGAGCCCCCCGCCCGGAUCACAGCUGCUGCAGCUGCCGCUGAAAUUCGCUGUGGCCGCUGCCUCUUCCCGCUUUAAUCCCAGACCUCCAGUCAUUGGGCAGCUCCUCAGAGGCAAGAAGUCAACACCAUGGCAACCCGACAAGCCUAUCAAAUCACCGGCUGGCGUGACAGCAGCAACACUGCAGGCAGGAGUGGGCUGGGCGGAAGAGCAGAGUGGCCACUGCGCUCAGAAGUUUACAAGGAAAGGGGAAAUGUCUGAAAUGGAGAUUGCACAAUCCUGUCUUGAAGCAGAAGACUCAGCUAGAGCACAUCUGGAAACACCUGGCACUCCUCAAUAGAAUUCAAAUGCUAUUUUAAAAGAGUCCAUUUCUAAGAAGAUGUGGUUCGAACAUACAGAGCUACAUAAUAUGAGUAAAAUAGGACCUAACAGUAGUGUUCUCCAGCAUUGCUCUGCCUUUCCUUUUCUGGAUGUAACAACAUUACUAAGAAAGGAAGAAAAAGCAAAAAUCUGCUCUCGGGGAGAUUCCAGAAUGUUGGAAAGCCCCAAAUGGAAGUCUCUGCUUUGGUUACAGGACAUAAGGUUUAAUAAAUAAAAAGAUGCUCAUCUGGGAUGCUGCACCAAUUAUCAUGUACUAAAUAAGGUUACCUACUUCACUCUCCAGGUAGAAAUGUCUAUCAUAAGCAUGUGCCACAGAAGGUCUCUCAAGUAUCAUUAUUGGCUGUGUUGAAUUUUGUUUUUAGUUCUCUUUUAUAAGGUCUGUAGUCUUACUUUCAGUGAGGAAGUGUUUUCUCAGGUUCUCAAGAAAGUAACAAAAUGCCAGCAUUGUCAAGGUCACCAUUGCCACUGAAUUAUCUUACUGUCUGAUUAUUCCAUCUUCCUCUGCAUCAUAUUAGCCUGAUGACUACAUUCUAAUUAUUUAAAGCGUUAUGUAAAUCAAAGCAGUAAAUGUAAUUUCUAGUCUUACUAGAUAUCAUGUACAUUAGGUCGAAUAACUCUAGAAAUGUCGUCAUAAUCAUGUCAUGCCUAAUGAUGACCUACUCAGCCCCUGCCAACAUCAUUCAAUUACUCAUUUCAGUAUUGAUUUUUCUCAUGCCUCUCUUCGUGGCAUUUAAACAGCCCUCACAUCUCCCCUUUUACUGAGGUGUAAUGUUGUAUAAUGACAGAGAUGCUUUGCUUCCCAGAUUCAUAAUGUUACACUCUGUUUCAAAUCCUUUUGGAGACAAAUUGGGGAAUCAAUAUAUAAAUAAUGACACACUUAUUUUUAAUUAAAAUCACUGCUUUCACAGAAAUGGUAUAUUAAAAUUAUUUUUGCUAAAAAAAUUUUAAAUACCUAUGUACGAUAAAAAGACUGCCAAUCCUUGGGAUCAAGAAUAUAAUUUGCCCCAAAUAACUUUUCUGUAAAAGUAGAAUUCUUAAUGGAAAAUAGAUUAAUACAUAUAAUUUCAAGAUCUAACCUUAAAAAUGGAAAUAAUGUGUCCAUUUUUAAAAAUAAAUCAUAUUUACAUACAAAAAAAAAAAAAAA